UUUCCGUAGGUGAACCUGCGGAAGGAUCAUUGUCGAAACCUACAAAGACAGAACGACCCGCGAACAGGUGCGAAAAAUUAUUCGAGAGAUGUGCCCCCCCCAGGGAGGGCCAUUCCCCCGCGGUCCUUGGCCAAGGUCGUGGCUGAAAUUCACGUCCUUCGCCACGGGCAGAAACAAACAAAACCCCGGCGCAAGUCGCGCCAAGGAAAACCAAGAAAAGAUGCGAUCCCCUCGUCCCGGAAACGGUGCGUCGGGGAUUACAUCGUCGUUAUCAUAUUCCAAACGACUCUCGGCAACGGAUAUCUCGGCUCUCGCAUCGAUGAAGAACGUAGCGAAAUGCGAUACUUGGUGUGAAUUGCAGAAUCCCGUGAACCAUCGAGUUUUUGAACGCAAGUUGCGCCCAAAGCCGUCAGGCCGAGGGCACGCCUGCCUGGGUGUCACGAAAAGUCGUCAAACGUCCCUCCCCCCCCCACCCCUCARAAAGGAGCGGGUGCGGCGAGCGAGGGACGGCGGAUGUUGGCCUCCCGUGCGCUCGUGCGUGCGGUUGGCCCAAAAAAUCUGGUGUGCCCGCGAGGCGGCCACGACGUGCGGUGGUUGAAAGCGCACGCUCAUCCUUAACACCGUCGUGGGCGAGCCUCGUUAACGGGGAGCCAAAGGACCCGACGCGUAGCGUCAUCACGAAGCGACCCCAGGUCAGGCGGGACCACCCGCUGAGUUUAAG
rnacentral:rRNA from 1 species